CGGUGUUUAACUGGCGUGAUGUGGGACGUCCUACCGGUGGGCUUAGCCUCGCGAGGGGCGGCCCAACUAAUAUCCCGUCGCGGUGCUCUUUACUGAGUGUCGAGUCGGGCCGGUACGUUUACUUUGAACAAAUUAGAGUGCUUAAAGCAGGCUAUCCUCGCCUGAAUACUGCGUGCAUGGAAUAAUGGAAUAGGACCCUCGGUUCUAUUUUGUUGGUUUUCGGAACCCCCGAGGUAAUGAUUAAUAGGGACAGAUGGGGGCAUUCGUAUUGCGACGUUAGAGGUGAAAUUCUUUGGAUCGUCGCAAGACGGACAGAAGCGAAAGCAUUUGCCAAAAAUGUUUUCAUUAAUCAAGAACGAAAGUUAGAGGUUCGAAGGCGAUCAGAUACCGCCCUAGUUCUAACCAUAAACGAUGCCAGCUAGCGAUCCGCCGAAGUUCCUCCGAUGACUCGGCGGGCAGCUUCCGGGAAACCAAAGCUUUUGGGUUCCGGGGGAAGUAUGGUUGCAAAGCUGAAACUUAAAGGAAUUGACGGAAGGGCACCACCAGGAGUGGAGCCUGCGGCUUAAUUUGACUCAACACGGGAAACCUCACCAGGCCCAGACACCGGAAGGAUUGACAGAUUGAUAGCUCUUUCUUGAUUCGGUGGGUGGUGGUGCAUGGCCGUUCUUAGUUGGUGGAGCGAUUUGUCUGGUUAAUUCCGAUAACGAACGAGACUCUAGCCUGCUAAAUAGGCGUACCUUAUGGUAUCGCGAAGGCCCCCGGCUUCGGCCGGUGGGUUUUUACUACCAACGUACAAACAAAUCUUCUUAGAGGGACAGGCGG
rnacentral:rRNA from 1 species